UGGGGAAUAUUGCACAAUGGGCGAAAGCCUGAUGCAGCGACGCCGCGUGAGGGAUGACGGCCUUCGGGUUGUAAACCUCUUUCAGCAGGGAAGAAGCGAAAGUGACGGUACCUGCAGAAGAAGCGCCGGCUAACUACGUGCCAGCAGCCGCGGUAAUACGUAGGGCGCAAGCGUUGUCCGGAAUUAUUGGGCGUAAAGAGCUCGUAGGCGGUUAGUCGCGUCUGCUGUGAAAACUCGAGGCUCAACCUCGGGCUUGCAGUGAGUACGGGCUGACUAGAGUGCGGUAGGGGUGACUGGAAUUCCUGGUGUAGCGGUGGAAUGCGCAGAUAUCAGGAGGAACACCGAUGGCGAAGGCAGGUCACUGGGCCGCAACUGACGCUGAGGAGCGAAAGCAUGGGGAGCGAACAGGAUUAGAUACCCUGGUAGUCCAUGCCGUAAACGUUGGGCACUAGGUGUGGGGUCCAUUCCACGGAUUCCGUGCCGCAGCAAACGCAUUAAGUGCCCCGCCUGGGGAGUACGGCCGCAAGGCUAAACUUAAAUGAAUUGACGGGGUCAUAGCUGUUUCCUG
rnacentral:rRNA from 1 species